UAGGGAAUAUUAGUAAUGGGCGAAAGCCUGAACUAGCAACGCCGCGUGUGCGAAGAAGGCCUUCGGGUUGUAAAGCACUUUUUGAGAGGAUGAGGAAGGACGGUACUCUCAGAAUAAGUCUCGGCUAACUACGUGCCAGCAGCCGCGGUAACACGUAGGAGGCGAACGUUAUCCGGAUUUACUGGGCGUAAAGCGCGUGUAGGUGGUUUGGUAAGUAGGGCGUGAAAGCUCCUGGCUCAACAGGGAGAGGCCGUUCUAAACUGCCGAACUAGAGGAUGGUAGGGGGAGGUGGAAUUCCGGGUGUAGCGGUGGAAUGCGCAGAUAUCCGGAGGAACACCAGUGGCGAAAGCGGCCUCCUGGACCAUUCCUGACACUCAGACGCUAAAGCUAGGGUAGCAAACGG
rnacentral:rRNA from 1 species